rnacentral:rRNA from 1 species
GAGCCCGCACAAGCAGUGGAGCAUGUGGUUUAAUUCGAAGAUACGCGAAGAACCUUACCAGGGCUUGACAUACCGAUUAACAGUCUAGAGAUAGAUGAAUAUACGUCGGAUACAGGUGGUGCAUGGUUGUCGUCAGCUCGUGUCGUGAGAUGUUAGGUUAAGUCCUCCAACGAGCGCAACCCUUGUCCUUAGUUACCAUCAUUAAGUUGGGGACUCUAAGGAGACCGCCGGUGUAAACCGGAGGAAGGUGGGGAUGACGUCAAAUCAUCAUGCCCUUUAUGUCCUGGGCGACACACGUGCUACAAUGGUCGGAACAAAGAGCUGCAAACCCGCGAGGGUAAGCGAAUCUCAGAAAGCCGAUCUCAGUUCGGAUAGGAGUCUGCAACUCGACUCCUUCAAGCCGGAAUUGCUAGUAAUCGCAGAUCAGCCAUGCUGCGGUGAAUACGUUCCCGGGCUUU